rnacentral:rRNA from 1 species
AAUCAACGCUGGCGGCGUGCCUAACACAUGCAAGUCGCACGAGAAAGGGUAGCAAUACCUGAGUACAGUGGCGCACGGGUGAGUAACACGUGAAUCAUCUACCUUCGAGUGGGGAAUAACUGAGAGAAAUCUUAGCUAAUACCGCAUAAUACCUACGGGUCAAAGCAGCAAUGCGCUUGAAGAGGAGUUCGCGGCAGAUUAGUUAGUUGGCGGGGUAAUGGCCCACCAAGACGAUGAUCUGUAUCCGGCCUGAGAGGGCGCACGGACACACUGGAACUGAAACACGGUCCAGACUCCUACGGGAGGCAGCAGUGGGGAAUUUUGCGCAAUGGGGGAAACCCUGACGCAGCAACGCCGCGUGGAGGAUGAAAUCCCUUGGGAUGUAGACUCCUUUCGAUAGGGAAGAUAAUGACGG